rnacentral:RNase_P_RNA from 1 species
UCCGAGAAGCGGUCAUUCGCUUGUUUACCUUUGGGUAUAUGAGAGGAAAGUCCGGACAUCACAGGGCAGGAUUCCCCGUGAAAGCGGGGGGGACUUGUUUCAAGACAAGUUCACGGCUAGUGCCACAGAAAACAAACCGCCUCUUUACGGAGGUAAGGGUGAAAAGGUGGGGUAAGGGCCCACCGCUGGUCGAGCAAUCGAUCAGGCAUGGUAAACCCAAUCCGAUGCAAGACGAAAUAGGAAACCGGGCUGCCCGUCUAUGGUUUCGGGUACGUCGCACCCCGCAGCAGUGGGGAUCUGAGCAUUUGGUCAGAUAGAUAAAUGAAUGGCGACCGUUCUCUGGCUUUUGUUUUUGAAUGGUUACAGAAUCCGGCUUACAGCUUCUCGGAAUCC